rnacentral:rRNA from 1 species
UGAAAGCCCCGGGCUUAACCUGGGAACUGCAUUUGAAACUGGCGGACUUGAGUUGAGUAGAGGGGAGUGGAAUUUCAGGUGUAGCGGUGAAAUGCGUAGAUAUCUGAAGGAACACCAGUGGCGAAGGCGACUCCCUGGACUCAAACUGACGCUGAGGUACGAAAGCGUGGGUAGCAAACAGGAUUAGAUACCCUGGUAGUCCACGCUGUAAACGAUGUCAACUAGCCGUUGGUCCUAUUUACAGGAUUAGUGGCGCAGCUAACGCAUUAAGUUGACCGCCUGGGGAGUACGGCCGCAAGGUUAAAACUCAAAUGAAUUGACGGGGGCCCGCACAAGCGGUGGAGCAUGUGGUUUAAUCGAUGCAACGCGAAGAACCUUACCUACCCUUGACAUCCAGAGAAUCUGUUAGAGAUAGUGGAGUGCCUUCGGGAACUCUGAGACAGGUGCUGCAUGGCUGUCGUCAGCUCGUGUCGUGAGAU